AUUGAACGCUGGCGGCAUGCCUUACACAUGCAAGUCGAACGGUAACAGGUCUUCGGAUGCUGACGAGUGGCGAACGGGUGAGUAAUACAUCGGAACGUGCCUAGUAGUGGGGGAUAACUACUCGAAAGAGUGGCUAAUACCGCAUGAGAUCUACGGAUGAAAGCAGGGGAUCGCAAGACCUUGCGCUACUAGAGCGGCCGAUGGCAGAUUAGGUAGUUGGUGGGAUAAAAGCUUACCAAGCCGACGAUCUGUAGCUGGUCUGAGAGGACGAUCAGCCACACUGGGACUGAGACACGGCCCAGACUCCCACGGGAGGCAGCAGUGGGGAAUUUUGGACAAUGGGCGCAAGCCUGAUCCAGCAAUGCCGCGUGCAGGAUGAAGGCCUUCGGGUUGUAGACUGCUUUUGUACGGAACGAAAAGCCCCGGGUUAAUACCCUGGGGUCAUGACGGUACCGUAAGAAUAAGCACCGGCUAACUACGUGCCAGCCGCCGCGGUAA
rnacentral:rRNA from 1 species